rnacentral:rRNA from 1 species
UUUAUGGAGAGUUUGAUCCUGGCUCAGGAUGAACGCUGGCGGCGUGCCUAAUACAUGCAAGUCGAGCGAACGGAUGAGAAGCUUGCUUCUCUGAUGUUAGCGGCGGACGGGUGAGUAACACGUGGAUAACCUACCUAUAAGACUGGGAUAACUUCGGGAAACCGGAGCUAAUACCGGAUAAUAUUUUGAACCGCAUGGUUCAAAAGUGAAAGACGGUCUUGCUGUCACUUAUAGAUGGAUCCGCGCUGCAUUAGCUAGUUGGUAAGGUAACGGCUUACCAAGGCAACGAUGCAUAGCCGACCUGAGAGGGUGAUCGGCCACACUGGAACUGAGACACGGUCCAGACUCCUACGGGAGGCAGCAGUAGGGAAUCUUCCGCAAUGGGCGAAAGCCUGACGGAGCAACGCCGCGUGAGUGAUGAAGGUCUUCGGAUCGUAAAACUCUGUUAUUAGGGAAGAACAUAUGUGUAAGUAACUGUGCACAUCUUGACGGUACCUAAUCAGAAAGCCACGGCUAACUACGUGCCAGCAGCCGCGGUAAUACGUAGGUGGCAAGCGUUAUCCGGAAUUAUUGGGCGUAAAGCGCGCGUAGGCGGUUUUUUAAGUCUGAUGUGAAAGCCCACGGCUCAACCGUGGAGGGUCAUUGGAAACUGGAAAACUUGAGUGCAGAAGAGGAAAGUGGAAUUCCAUGUGUAGCGGUGAAAUGCGCAGAGAUAUGGAGGAACACCAGUGGCGAAGGCGACUUUCUGGUCUGUAACUGACGCUGAUGUGCGAAAGCGUGGGGAUCAAACAGGAUUAGAUACCCUGGUAGUCCACGCCGUAAACGAUGAGUGCUAAGUGUUAGGGGGUUUCCGCCCCUUAGUGCUGCAGCUAACGCAUUAAGCACUCCGCCUGGGGAGUACGACCGCAAGGUUGAAACUCAAAGGAAUUGACGGGGACCCGCACAAGCGGUGGAGCAUGUGGUUUAAUUCGAAGCAACGCGAAGAACCUUACCAAAUCUUGACAUCCUUUGACAACUCUAGAGAUAGAGCCUUCCCCUUCGGGGGACAAAGUGACAGGUGGUGCAUGGUUGUCGUCAGCUCGUGUCGUGAGAUGUUGGGUUAAGUCCCGCAACGAGCGCAACCCUUAAGCUUAGUUGCCAUCAUUAAGUUGGGCACUCUAAGUUGACUGCCGGUGACAAACCGGAGGAAGGUGGGGAUGACGUCAAAUCAUCAUGCCCCUUAUGAUUUGGGCUACACACGUGC